AUUGAUAAAUGACAGGUGUUUAUAUUAUACCUACCAGACAGAUAUGUUCACCAUACAAUAUAGUACAAAUAUUAAAUAUAAUUUGCUAUCAUAUCUGAGAUACUGACUUGAACUAGGAAACUUAACUUUGUGAAUUAUCAAUGAUUACUUGGUCAAAUGAGAACUGUUAGAUUGGCAUUAUGACCAUAUAGUUGCACACAUACAAAAAUCGCUAACAUAUAACUUAUAAUAGAGAAUCAACAUAGCAAACAAUUCUUCGAGUAGCUAUAUAGUCACUCACUGAACUAUGAAAAAGAGGUUCAAGACAAUCAUAUCAAAACAGAUAAAUUGUAAUAUUGUGGCUAAUUAAAAAAUAAAGUGGGGAAAAAUAUAUUGUUUUGGCGAAAGAGGUGGCGAAAAAAAUAAUUGACCCAGGGGAAACCCUGGGGCUAAAGAUACCAGAUGAACAGCAAACUCAUAAAUGGAAAAUAAACUUACAAUUCCAUGACUAAAACUGAAAAAGACAUGCAUACAAAUAAAAGUACACUAGAAACAACAUAGAAAACUAAAGACUGAGCAACACGAACCCCACCAAAACAGGUGAUCUCAGGUGCUCCGGAUGGG
rnacentral:lncRNA from 1 species